UGGGGAAUUUUGGACAAUGGGCGAAAGUCUGAUCCAGCAAUGCCGCGUGUGUGAAGAAGGCCUUCGGGUUGUAAAGCACUUUUGUCCGGAAAGAAAUCCUUGGCUCUAAUACAGUCGGGGGAUGACGGUACCGGAAGAAUAAGCACCGGCUAACUACGUGCCAGCAGCCGCGGUAAUACGUAGGGUGCAAGCGUUAAUCGGAAUUACUGGGCGUAAAGCGUGCGCAGGCGGUUUGCUAAGACCGAUGUGAAAUCCCCGGGCUCAACCUGGGAACUGCAUUGGUGACUGGCAGGCUAGAGUAUGGCAGAGGGGGGUAGAAUUCCACGUGUAGCAGUGAAAUGCGUAGAGAUGUGGAGGAAUACCGAUGGCGAAGGCAGCCCCCUGGGCCAAUACUGACGCUCAUGCACGAAAGCGUGGGGAGCAAACAGGAUUAGAUACCCUGGUAGUCCACGCCCUAAACGAUGUCAACUAGUUGUUGGGGAUUCAUUUCCUUAGUAACGUAGCUAACGCGUGAAGUUGACCGCCUGGGGAGUACGGUCGCAAGAUUAAAACUCAAAGGAAUUGACGGGGUCAUAGCUGUUUCCU
rnacentral:rRNA from 1 species